rnacentral:rRNA from 1 species
UGCGUAGGUGGUUAAGUAAGUUAUCUGUGAAAUCCCUGGGCUCAACCUGGGCAGGUCAGAUAAAACUGUUUAACUCGAGUAUGGGAGAGGGUAGUGGAAUUUCCGGUGUAGCGGUGAAAUGCGUAGAGAUCGGAAGGAACACCAGUGGCGAAGGCGGCUACCUGGCCCAAUACUGACACUGAGGCACGAAAGCGUGGGGAGCAAACAA